GUGAUUCAUGAUAUUUUCCAUCCCUUUCCCUCAUGCCUCUCUCCUUCAUUCUCCUCCUCCAUCGCUCUCCAUCGGAGACUACACAGUAGGAAAGAAUCUCCACUUUCAUUCGACAACGUUGAUCGGAUCGAAGAGGGUAUUUUAUCCGAGCUUCAAGUCUCCACCUCGCGCCUCUCUAUAUAUGUCGUUCAGAUAAUUACAACAAACCUACUUCCCAUCUCGUUGUUUUCAUUCAUUGAUUCAGUCCAACUCUGAAUGAAGAUGGAGCAGAUGAAGAAGAACGGAAAUGGAAAAUCAAGCAAGAGUCCAAGAAUUGGUCUCCGGAUCUACCAGAGGUGAGGCCUGUCAUCACCCGUCAGCUCUGUUGAUCGCCGACCUGCCGGCCUACUCAACUCCGUCGGCCACUCCUAGAGUAUGGAUAUUCACAUAGUGAUGAUAUAUGACUCUGUUUCUUAGGUUCUGCUUUGUAAAUACUGUUUGUGAAUAUAUAAUCUUCAAUCAUGGAUUUGGGUGAAUGGGUUUUUCCCAUGA